AGUAAUUAUUUCUUUGCUGUGUUGAAACACUGAGUACUGUAACAGAAGAAAUGUUGCUUUUGAAUUGGUUUUACGACUGAGGCCUCAAGUAGAUAUGUAUAGAAAUUUUCUUUCUAUUGUAAAACAUGCAAAUAUCAAUGUCUUUAUUCUUCAAUUCACAACAGUAGUGGAACUCGCCUUUAUCUGAAGAAUCAUUUUUCAUAUUUAGGAAAAAAGCUUGUGGCAACUGUCUUCUCUGAACAGCUGUCUUGUGAACAUGGGCCUCAGUACAAUAAAGAGGACACUUCACACCCUACAACCCGUAAAAAUAACCCAGAUUUGACAGAACUACACACCCAUCUGAGGCCUACUGUACCUGUUUUACUUUCAUGAUCACUGCAGAUACUUCUACAAUUGACCCACUUUGUAAGUUCUCAUAGUUACACCUUAAAAAAACACAUCAUUUUAGAAAAAAUACCUGUGUAUUUGCUGGUAUAUUACUGAGAUACCUUUAUAAAGAUUAAUGUUGAUUAACUACCUAGUUCAAUUAAAAAUGAAAAAAUGUGCCAUUUAAUCUCCCUUCUGUCAUUCUAUUCCAUAAAAAAGUGUGCAUCUUCAUGACACGAAUAAAGGUAUAUAACCCAAAUCUUUGACACCCAAGAAACCAUCAAAUCAAUCUAUAUGAAU